rnacentral:rRNA from 1 species
UACGGGGGGAGCAAGCGUUGUUCGGAUUUACUGGGCGUAAAGGGCGCGUAGGCGGUGUGUCGCGUCGGCCGUGAAAACCUGGGGCUUAACUCUGGGCGUGCGGUCGAUACGGGCAUCACUGGAGUUCGGCAGGGGAGACUGGAAUUCCUGGUGUAGCGGUGAAAUGCGCAGAUAUCAGGAGGAACACCGGUGGCGAAGGCGGGUCUCUGGGCCGAUACUGACGCUGAGGAGCGAAAGCAUGGGUAGCGAACAGG